GAUGAACGCUAGCUACAGGCUUAACACAUGCAAGUCGAGGGGCAGCAUGGUCUUAGCUUGCUAAGGCCGAUGGCGACCGGCGCACGGGUGAGUAACACGUAUUCAACCUGCCUUAUACUCCCGGACAGCCUUCUGAAAGGAAGAUUAAUACGGGAUGGCAUCACGAGCCAGCAUUUUCUCGUGAUUAAAGAACUUCGGUAUAAGAUGGGGAUGCGUUCCAUUAGAUAGUAGGCGGGGUAACGGCCCACCUAGUCGACGAUGGAUAGGGGUUCUGAGAGGAAGGUCCCCCACAUUGGAACUGAGACACGGUCCAAACUCCUACGGGAGGCAGCAGUGAGGAAUAUUGGUCAAUGGGCGCGAGCCUGAACCAGCCAAGUAGCGUGAAGGAUGACUGCCCUACGGGUUGUAAACUUCUUUUAUAAAGGAAUAAAGUGAGGCACGUGUGCCUUUUUGUAUGUACUUUAUGAAUAAGGAUCGGCUAACUCCGUGCCAGCAGCCGCGGUAAUACGGAGGAUCCGAGCGUUAUCCGGAUUUAUUGGGUUUAAAGGGAGCGUAGAUGGGUUGUUAAGUCAGUUGUGAAAGUUUGCGGCUCAACCGUAAAAUUGCAAUUGAUACUGGCGGCCUUGAGUACAGUUGAGGUAGGCGGAAUUCGUGGUGUAGCGGUGAAAUGCUUAGAUAUCACGAAGAACUCCGAUUGCGAAGGCAGCUUACUAAACUGCCACUGACAUUGAUGCUCGAAAGUGUGNGUAUCAAACAGG
rnacentral:rRNA from 1 species